rnacentral:lncRNA from 1 species
GGCUGCUUACUUUUUCUUUUAUACACUUAUCACCUUUUAACACAGUAUAUAAUUCAUUUACUUAUUGUUUAUAUUUUAUUAUUAUCUCUGUACCCCUACCAACUUGAAGCAAGCUCUAUGGUGGCAGGGAUCAUCAACUGUUUUCCUCACUGAUGUUUCCCUCCAACCCCUGGUAAACUCUCACUGAAUGAAGAAAGCUCUCUGAAAACGUCAUAUAUAAGCUCUGGAAUUUUCACAAAUGCCCACAACAGAGUCACAAUGAUCAAUGGAAAAAUACUCCCUCAUUAAUGCCACAUACCAGCAUUAUCAACCACCUAAAAGAUGAAUGAUUUAGACCCCAAUUAAACACCAUGAAAAGCAUAUGUUACAGAGAAUCAAGCAGAACUCUACAGAGAAUGUGAGGGAGAAACAGAUCAAGGAGUGGCAAAGCUUGGAUCUGAAUUCAGAUGCGCUCAUUCUCAAGCCGUAUUCUUAACCACUCUACUACUCUUCUCCAAUUGUUUUGGAAAUAUGAAACAAUUGGAGAUCUGAAGCUUCAAAACUCCUACCAACCACCAUCUCCUUCGUGAAGCCUUCCCUGCCCACCCCAGAUAGGAGGAAUGAAUGAACACCAGUAGUCUGCUGGCCUGCCUGGUCUGCCUGGUGUCUGGCAUCCAGAGACUUUUCCUGGCUGACCUUUUGGAGAAUGUCCAACAUUGAGAAAAUGGAAUCCAAAAGAAGACACAGAACCGGGCUCCAUGUUUUCAGAGACUGCACCACAUUGGUCAUUGGAGUUAAAUGUGUUCAUAUCCAUCGGCUCUGUGCUCUGUCACGCAAAAUAUUAAAAUGAAAUGCUAGGAGAACAGUUUGAAGCAAUCCUUCCUGUUCUUGAAACUCACCUUUAGCUGCUGAGAACGCUGGCUCUCCAAAUAACAUGGUCCUUUUCAACCUCCAUACAGUGUCCUAAUAGUGUCUGCGUUAACUGUUAUGAAUGAGACGGUGGAACACAUAUUGUCUCCUUUUGCAAUUAAGAAAA